rnacentral:lncRNA from 1 species
UUCGGGUCGGGCUCGGGCAGAACGUGCACGGGCUCGGGCUGGGUCGGGUCGGAUUUUUUGGGCCCGAUCUAACCUCUACUACCCAUUAAUCAUAAAACAUAAAACAAACAAAAACAAUUACACAAAUAGCGCUAUUUAACAUUUUCCCACAUUAUGACAAAACAGGUGAUCACUAUUUUUUUACACAAACAUUAAUUAUUUUCUUUUUACAGGGAAACAGGAACCCCCGGACCCUCUCCCUCCCUGCAGGUGGAUCCGUCCUACCAGAAGAAGAAGCCCCGGUCCCCUUGCCUCCAUUUUGCCCCUCAGACCCUCCACACAGCAGGACUAAGAGUUUUGUGCAUGUCCUCAGAUGAGAGACAGUCCUCUUCUGAAACCUCAUUCUGCUCAGAAGAUUCAGCUUCAUCAGGCUCAACUAUAAUUCUGGAAUCUUCAAAGGCAGGAAGACGGAAAUUGAUUGAUGGACCAGUUGAUCCCGCUACAGCUAGAGAUAUGGUCAAAGUAGCACUUCACUCAAAGCCAGGAGGUGACCAGAUAUUUCAGGAGUAUCACAAAACAAGUUGCCUUUCUGAUGGCACUAGAAGAAAGAUUGUCAACAUACUUGUAGCAGAUAUGGUGGAGGAUCCCACCUUUAAAUGUCCGCAUUUCAUAUGCCCUUGGGAUAAUAACACUUUUCCCUCAUUUGAAGGAUUCAGAUUCAGUAAAUGGCUACGUAAGUAUAUUAGUGAACAAAUAUGCACGUGUGGUUAGUACAUGGUGAAGUCCUUUCAAGCUUUAAAAAAAAAAAAAACUUUAUUUAACAGGAGCACUUCUAUGAUCCUCAAAGUGGGUCUGGUUACCUGGCCUGGAGACUGAAAACAGUUCAGCGCAACUCAGCAAGUGAGGGGAAGAGUGGAAGUACAUCCAGUUACAAAGGAGGCCCGAAGACCAAUAGUGAGAUACCUGUGUGUGGAGAGCAGCUAUCUGGUAAUGAAUGCAAAGAGGCCAUGUCCCUGAUGAACCACUCAGCUGACAAAACACUGGUUAAGGAGA